rnacentral:rRNA from 1 species
CAGUAGCCGCGGUAAUACGUAGGUGGCAAGCGUUGUCCGGAAUUAUUGGGCGUAAAGGGCUCGCAGGCGGUUUCUUAAGUCUGAUGUGAAAGCCCCCGGCUCAACCGGGGAGGGUCAUUGGAAACCGGGAAACUUGGGUGCAGAAGAGGAGAGUGGAAUUCCACGUGUAGCGGUGAAAUGCGUAGAGAUGUGGAGGAACACCAGAGGCGAAGGCGACUCUCUGGUCUGUAACUGACGCUGAGGAGCGAAAGCGUGGGGAGCGAACAGGAUUAGAUACCCCCGUAGUCCCUGUCUCUUAUAC